rnacentral:lncRNA from 1 species
UAGAAGUUCCUUCAGAUGGGUCCCUGGUGUGAGGGUGUCCUGUAUCAGACUGCCUAUUGAAGUUCAACCUGUGGUUCAAGACAGGAUCUCAUUCAGAAUACUACUUUCAUUCAGGCUGGAGUGCAGUGGCAUGAUCUUAGCUCUCUGCAACUUCCGCCUCCUGGGCUCAAGCGAUUCUCCUGUCUCAGGCUCCGGAGUAGCUGGGACUACAGGCAUGCGCCACAACACCAGGGAAAAAAACAAACCAACCAACAAACUGAGCCUGAAACUGAUAACACAGAUACGUACAGCAUCAUAUUUAAGUAACCAAUCGGAAUUAUUGCAGUGGAGAUGUUUUAUUGCCACCAAAGAUUUGCUGUCAUCCACACAGAAGAAUAAAAAGAUGAAAUAUCAGUGAGUUGAUCUAUGUUGCUCUGAUUCAAAGUUAAUGAUACAGUCUUCAUGUUUCUGUGCUUGUUCCUCU